UUCCUGGUAGCUCAGCUGGCAAAGAAUCUGCCUACAAUGUAGGAGACCCUGGUUUGAUUUCUGGGCCAGGAAG
rnacentral:tRNA from 1 species